ACUGAAUCCCGCUCCGUGAGGAGAAUUUGGGACAUGUAGUUUUCGGUUCGAGCCUUGCGGCACAUUGUGACUGUUUCAAGUCCACGUGAUUGUGGCUUCAAGCCCAGAGAGGGUGUAAGGCCCGUACGAACAGUUCAAUAUGUCUCGGGUUCGUUCCUCGAGUAGGGUUGUUUGGAAAUGCAGCCCUAAUGAGGUGGUAAACUCCAUCUAAGGCUAAAUACAUCACGAGUCCGAUAGCGAACAAGUAUUAUGAAAGAAAGUUGAAAAGAACUUUGAAGAGAGAGUUCAACAGUGCGUGAAACCGCUCAAAGGUAACCGGGCAGAACCGAAGGAUGGAUUGCGGAUUUGUACUUCCCCCAACCUUGCAUCAGUGCUGGGAUAGUUUACUACUCGGUCUGGUGUACUUGCGUAGGGGUUGUCCUAUUCAGCAGUCUGAACACCAAGAUGAGUAAGUAGAUUGGUCUGUCGUCUUGAGAAAGGUGACUCUGGAUUUAUCUGGAGUGUUAUAGUCUCUUGGCACAGCACUAGUUGAAUACUCUGAUCAGAUGCAAGCCAUUGUGGCGUACAUGGCGUAGUGUGAUAAGAAGUAGUUUUGUCAACUCAACAAGAGAUGACUCUUCUAUCUGAAGCUUGCAUCACGUCCUCUGUACGGUGCAUCAUUAAUCAUUGGUGGACUAGUAGGCAAUCUGCCCGACCCGUCUUGAAACACGGACCAAGGAGUUUAGCAUAUGCGCGAGUCAUUGGGUUUUACGAAACCUACAGGCAAAGUGAAAGUGAAGACUUGCCUCGUGCAAGUUAUGGUAGGAUCCCGGCUUCAAUGUGUGGCAACAUACAUGGGUUGGGCGCACUACCAGCUCGUCCCAUGCUUUAUUAAGUGGGGCGACGCAAGAGCGCACAUGCUGAGACCCGAAAGAUGGUGAACUAUGCUUGUGUAGGUUGAAGCCAGAGGAAACUCUGGUGGAGGACCGUAGCAAUUCUGACGUGCAAAUCGAUUGUCAAACAUGAGUAUAGGGGCGAAAGACUAAUCGAACCAUCUAGUAGCUGGUUCCCUCCGAAGUUUCCCUCAGGAUAGCUGUCACUUCGGAAACAAACAGUUUUAUCCGGUAAAGCGAAUGAUUAGCAGUAUUGGGGGUGACAUACCCUCAACUGAUUCUCAAACUUUAAAUGGGUGAGAUGCUCAACUCUCUCAAAUAUGGAGUUGGGCUUUCGAAUGUGAGUGACAAGUGGGCCAUUUUUGGUAAGCAGAACUGGCGCUGUGGGAUGAACCAAACGUCUGGUUAAGGAGCCAAACGCAACGCUCAUGAGAUACCACAAAAGGUGUUGGUUGAUUUAGACAGCAGGACGGUGGCCAUGGAAGUCGGAAUCCGCUAAGGAGUGUGUAACAACUCACCUGCCGAAUCAACCAGCCCUGAAAAUGGAUGGCGCUUGAGCGUUGGUCCUAUACCGGACUGUUACCGCGAGGCAAAGGAAGCGGUAACGAGUAGGAGGGCGCUGUGGUGAGCGUAGAAGCUUCAGUCGUACGACUGGGUGGAGCCUCCACGGGAGCAGAUCUUGGUGGUAGUAGCAAAUAUUCAAGUGAGAACCUUGAAGACUGAAGUGGA
rnacentral:rRNA from 1 species